ACGAUUUCGGUUAACACCGUUCUCUACCUUUGUCUAUGCGUACUACAUGUUUCCUCGGGGAGCCUGCUCCCCGCUAGGACUAUAUAUCAACCUUUUUGUAAUAGCAGUCAGCGUCUGAAAUAAAGUUAAUUAUUA
rnacentral:misc_RNA from 1 species